UUGAAACACCAGUUCCCAUAUGAUCACCGAAGUUAAGCAACGUCAAGCUUGGUCAGUACCUAGAUGGGUGACUACUUGGGAAUACCAGGUGCU